rnacentral:rRNA from 1 species
CGUAUAGGGUCUGACGCCUGCCCGGUGCCGGAAGGUUAAGGGAGAUGUGCAAGCAUCGAACUGAAGCCCCGGUAAACGGCGGCCGUAACUAUACGGUCCUAAGGUAGCGAAAUUCCUUGUCGGGUAAGUUCCGACCUGCACGAAUGGCGUAACGAUGGCCACACUGUCUCCUCCCGAGACUCAGCGAAGUUGAAAUGUUUGUGAUGAUGCAAUCUCCCCGCGGAAAGACGGAAAGACCCCAUGAACCUUUACUGUAGCUUUGUAUUGGAUUUUGAACAGACCUGUGUAGGAUAGGUGGGAGGCUUUGAAGCCGGAACGCUAGUUUCGGUGGAGCCAACGUUGAAAUACCACCCUGGUGUGUUUGAGGUUCUAACCUAGGUCCAUUAUCUGGAUCGGGGACAGUGCAUGGUAGGCAGUUUGACUGGGGCGGUCUCCUCCCAAAGUGUAACGGAGGAGUUCGAAGGUACGCUAGGCACGGUCGGAAAUCGUGCUGAUAGUGCAUAGGCAUAAGCGUGCUUGACUGCGAGACGGACAUGUCGAGCAGGUACGAAAGUAGGACUAAGUGAUCCGGUGGUUCUGUAUGGAAGGGCCAUCGCUCAACGGAUAAAAGGUACUCUGGGGAUAACAGGCUGAUACCGCCCAAGAGUUCAUAUCGACGGCGGUGUUUGGCACCUCGAUGUCGGCUCAUCUCAUCCUGGGGCUGUAGCCGGUCCCAAGGGUAUGGCUGUUCGCCAUUUAAAGAGGUACGUGAGCUGGGUUUAAAACGUCGUGAGACAGUUUGGUCCCUAUCU